CUACUCCUUCUCCUUC
rnacentral:sRNA from 1 species